UACGUAGGGUGCGAGCGUUUAAUCGGAAUUACUGGGCGUAAAGCGUGCGUAGACGGUUAUUUAAGUCAGGUGUGAAAGCCCCGGGCUCAACCUGGGAAUUGCAUUUGAGACUGAAUAGCUAGGGUGCGGAAGAGGGAAGCGGAAUUUCCGGUGUAGCGGUGAAAUGCGUAGAUAUCGGGAGGAAUGACCAGUGGCGCAAGCGGCGCCCUGGCCGUGACCUGACACUGAGCCACGAACGGCGUGGGGAGCAAACGGG
rnacentral:rRNA from 1 species